rnacentral:rRNA from 1 species
AUGCGUCAGUUAGUGUCCGCGCCAGAGCCUCGUCCAAGCUCGCCGCCACAUGUCAUCGCCAGUCCUCCACAUCAAGGUCGGUUUGAUGAGCUAUUUGUUCCUCCCUUUCCCGUCCUUCCCUUCUCAUCUCCCGUCUUCAUCUGUUUUCCUCCUUCGGUGCUUAUUCCCCCGCCCAUCUCCCCUUGCAUCAUCGCGCCCCUAAUGGUCGUACUCAUUCGACAUGUUUGCUCCAUUGAACUUAAUACCGAACAUUCAAUAUCAAGAUUAUUCAAACUUUUACCGUCCACCAUAGCCCUUUAUCAAAAAAUUUGGUAA